rnacentral:rRNA from 1 species
UACGGAGGGGCUAGCGUUGUUCGGAAUUACUGGGCGUAAAGCGCACGUAGGCGGCUUUGUAAGUUAGAGGUGAAAGCCCAGGGCUUAACCCUGGAAUUGCCUUUAAGACUGCAUCGCUAGAAUCGUGGAGAGGUGAGUGGAAUUCCGAGUGUGAGAGGUGAAAUUCGUAGAUAUUGGGAAGAACACCAGUGGCGAAGGCGACUCACUGGACACGUAUUGACGCUGAGGUGGCGAAAGCGUGGGGAGCAACAGG